rnacentral:rRNA from 1 species
CCUACGGGCGGCUGCAGUGGGGAAUAUUGGACAAUGGGCGCAAGCCUGAUCCAGCAAUGCCGCGUGUGUGAAGAAGGCCUUCGGGUUGUAAAGCACUUUUGUUAGGGAGGAAAGUCUGGUAGCUAAUAACUGCUAGAUCUGACGUUACCUAAAGAAUCAGCACCGGCUAACUCUGUGCCAGCAGCCGCGGUAAUACAGAGGGUGCAAGCGUUGAUCGGAAUUACUGGGCGUAAAGGGUCUGUUCGGAGGUGAAAUCCCCGGGCUCAACCUGGGAACGGCAUUCGAUACUGGUAGUCUAGAGUGUGCAAGAGGAUGGGGGAAUUCCUGGUGUAGCAGUGAAAUGCGUAGAUAUCAGGAGGAACAUCAAUGGCGAAGGCACCUUUCUGGGGCAACACUGACGCUGAGAGACGAAAGCGUGGGGAGCAAACAGGAUUAGAUACCCCUGUAGUC